UUUCCCUCAGGAUAGCUGGCGCUCGAUCGCAGUUUUAUCCGGUAAAGCGAAUGAUUAGAGGCCUUAGGGACGAAACGACCUCAACCUAUUCUCAAACUUUAAAUGGGUAAGAAGUCCGGCUCGCUCGAUUGGAGCCGGGGCCUAGCCGUUUACGCCU
rnacentral:ncRNA from 1 species